rnacentral:lncRNA from 1 species
GUUGUUUUCUUCGUCCGCUCCACUACUGCUUAGGGAGAUAAGACUGAAUGUUGUUUUCUUCGAUCUAUUCCACUGUUGUCCAGGGAGAUAGAACUACCAGCUUCAAUGUACUCCACUGUAAUCAGGGAGGUAAAAUCCGCCGUCUUCGACCUGCUCCACUAUUGCUUAGGGAGAUAAGAUCUGUAAUCUUCGAUCUAUUCCACUGUUGCCCAGGGAGAUAGAACUACCAGCUUCAAUGUACUCCACUGUAAUCAGGGAGGUAAAAUCCGCCGUCUUCGACCUGCUCCACUAUUGCUUAGGGAGAUAAGAUCUGUAAUCUUCAAUCUAUUCCACUGCCAAAUACAGGGAGAUAGAGUUAUCGGCUUCAAUGUACUCCACUGUAGUCAGGGAGGUAAAAUCUGCCAUCUUCGACCUGCUCCACUAUUGCUUAGAGAGAUAAGAUCUGUAAUCUUCGAUCUAUUCCACUGUUGCCCAGGGAGAUAGAACUACCAGCUUCAAUGUACUCCACUGUAAUCAGGGAGGUAAAAUCCGCCGUCUUCAACCUGCUCCACUAUUGCUUAGGGAGAUAAGAUCUGUAAUCUUCAAUCUAUUCCACUGCCAAAUACAGGGAGAUAGAGCUAUCGGCUUCAAUGUACUCCACUGUAGUUAGGGAGGUAAACUCUGCCAUCUUCGAUCUUCAAUCUAUUCCACUGCCAAAUACAGGGAGAUAGAGUUAUCGGCUUCAAUGUACUCCACUGUAGUCAGGGAGGUAAAAUCUGCCAUCUUCGAUCUUCAAUCUAUUCUACUACCAAAUACAGGGAGAUAGAGUUAUCGGCUUCAAUGUACUCCACUGUAGUCACAUGGAGGUAAAAUCUGCCAUCUUUGAUCUUCAAUCUAUUCCACUGCCAAAUACAGGGAGAUAGAGUUAUCGGCUUCAAUGUACUCCACUGUAGUCAGGGAGGUAAAAUCUGCCAUCUUCGAUCUUCAAUCUAUUCCACUGCCAAAUACAGGGAGAUAGAGUUAUCGGCUUCAAUGUACUCCACUGUAGUCAGGGAGGUAAAAUCUGCCAUCUUUGAUCUACUCCCCUACUGCUUAGGGAGAUAAGAUCUGUAAUCUUCAAUCUAUUCCACUGCCAAAUACAGGGAGAUAGAAUUAUCGGCUUCAAUGUACUCCACUGUAGUCAGGGAGGUAAAAUCUGUCAUCUUUGAUCUGUUUCAUUGCCAAAUACAGGAAGGCAAGAUCUGCAAUCUUCAAUCUAUUCCACUACCAAAUACAGAGAGAUAGAAUUAUCGGCUUCAAUGUACUCCACUGUAGUCAGGGAGGUAAAAUCUGCCAUCUUUGAUCUGCUUCGCUGCCAAAUACAGGAAGGCAAGAUCUGCAAUCUUCAAUCUAUUCCACUGCCAAAUACAGGGAGAUAGAGUUAUCGGCUUCAAUGUACUCCACUGUAGUCAGGGAGGUAAAAUCUGCCAUCUUUGAUUUGCUUCGCUGCCAAAUACAGGAAGGCAAGAUCUGCAAUCUUCAAUCUAUUCCACUGCCAAAUACAGGGAGAUAGAAUUAUCGGCUUCAAUGUACUCCACUGUAGUCAGGGAGGUAAAAUCUGCCAUCUUCGAUCUGCUUCGCUGCCAAAUACAGGAAGGCAAGAUCUGCAAUCUUCAAUCUAUUCCACUGCCAAAUACAGGGAGAUAGAGUUAUCGGCUUCAAUGUACUCCACUGUAGUCAGGGAGGUAAAAUCUGCCAUCUUUGAUCUGCUUCGCUGCCAAAUACAGGAAGGCAAGAUCUGCAAUCUUC